CCGUUCGGGGAGCUAGGAUUGCCUACAGCAUCUGGGACGUCGCAGGAGACGUCCAGUCUGUCGAUCACAUCCCAAUCGCGUGCAAGGAUGCCGUUGCGAUCCUGUACAUGUUCGAUCUCACGAGCCGGUGCACGCUUAAUAAUAUUAUAGAUUGGUACGAGAGGGCGAGGAAAGGAA